UACAGAGGUCUCAAGCGUUUGUUCGGAUUCAUUGGGCGUAAAGGGUGUGUAGGUGGCGCCGUAAGUCGGGUGUGAAAUUUCGGAGCUUAACUCCGAAACUGCAUUCGAUACUGCGGUGCUUGAGGACUGGAGAGGAGACUGGAAUUCAUGGUGUAGCAGUGAAAAUGCGUAGAGAUCAUGAGGAAGACCAGUGGCGAAGGCGGGUCACUGGCCCGAUACUGACGCUGAGGCACGAAAGCGUGGGGGAGCAAACAGG
rnacentral:rRNA from 1 species